rnacentral:rRNA from 1 species
UAAGGAAUAUUGGUCAAUGGACGCAAGUCUGAACCAGCCAUGCCGCGUGAAGGAUGAGGGUCCUCUGGAUUGUAAACUUCUUUUAUCUGGGACGAAAACGGGAUUUUUAUCUCAAUUGACGGUACCAGAGGAAUAAGCACCGGCUAACUCCGUGCCAGCAGCCGCGGUAAUACGGAGGGUGCGAGCGUUAUCCGGAUUUACUGGGUGUAAAGGGCGCGCAGGCGGGAUAAAAAGUCAGUGGUGAAAUCCUACAGCUUAACUGUAGAACUGCCUUUGAUACUUUUAUUCUUGAGUUCGGGAGAGAGAGACGGAAUUCCAGGUGUAGUGGUGAAAUACGUAGAUAUCUGGAAGAACACCAGUUGCGAAGGCGGUCUCUUGGUCCGACACUGACGCUGAGGCGCGAAAGCGUGGGGAGCAAACA